CCUGUGGUGAAAAAUUUGAAGGAGGUGCAGUUGGAUUCUGCAGCAGAGAAAGGACAGAGGAGGAAGAGCAGACACUGUAAUUGACAUGGACACGAAAACUGCCAGAAAGAGGAGACCCCAGGUCUGACAGAUCAGUCUCUAUGCCAGGAGUCUGCUCAACACCUGGAGAAUGAAGAGGCUGGGGCGGGCAGAUCAUCAACUAAUGUUCAGUCCGAUAACAACGACUCCUCUGAGGAGUGUAUACAGUCAGAAGCUGAUGAGGAAAGCAGAUGUUCCUGACUGAAGACUCAAUGUGGAGAAAUAAAGAUCAGUGGUAGGUUUUGGAAGGACAGAAUGCAGAGGCCUGAGGAUUUCUCUAAGACACACACACAUACACAGAAAAUGUCCUCACUUUACAACCAAUGGUCCUCACUUUUAUGGUGAACUACGAAAAAAAAUGGUCCUCACUCAGCUGCAAAAACAGGAGGACACACACACACGGGAUAAUUUUAAAAAGCUAAAGAUUCUGUUUAUAAUUUAAAUGCACUUAGCUAUUCUUUAAUUAUUUGUUUGCUUUAAAAUAAACAAUUUCCUUAAUUAUUAAUUUAAUUUAUUUCUCUUUUUUUUCCAAUACAUCUCUGCUUACCAGAAAUAUACAGAGUUGGGUGAUGUAAUUGGAAAGUUCUAGAAGGGAGCAUGGGAUGGGAGAGAAGGGUGUGGGAGGUGGGGUCGAGGUCAUGGGAGGUCAACCAUUCACUUGAGCUGUUAAAAAGUUUGAAUAAAGCUACCUACUUAUAUUUUUUGUCAUAGCUUUUUUCAGAGUUUCUGUUUAAACUCUGAUGCUGACCCUCUGCUGUAUGUUUUAUGAUUUAACACUGAAC